rnacentral:rRNA from 1 species
UGGGGAAUAUUGGACAAUGGGGGAAACCCUGAUCCAGCAAUGCCGCGUGAGUGAAGAAGGCCUUAGGGUUGUAAAGCUCUUUCGCCCGCGAAGAUAAUGACGGUACCCGCAGAAGAAGCCCCGGCUAACUCCGUGCCAGCAGCCGCGGUAAUACGGAGGGGGCUAGCGUUGUUCGGAAUUACUGGGCGUAAAGCGCACGUAGGCGGACUGUUUAGUCAGGGGUGAAAUCCCGGGGCUCAACCUCGGAAUUGCCUCUGAUACUGGCAGUCUCGAGUCCGGAAGAGGUGAGUGGAAUUCCGAGUGUAGAGGUGAAAUUCGUAGAUAUUCGGAGGAACACCAGUGGCGAAGGCGGCUCACUGGUCCGGUACUGACGCUGAGGUGCGAAAGCGUGGGGAGCAAACA